rnacentral:rRNA from 1 species
UACGUAGGGGGCCAGCGUUGUCCGGAAUCAUUGGGCGUAAAGCGCGCGUAGGCGGCCAGAUAAGUCCGGUGUGAAAGUCAAAGGCUCAACCUUUGAAUGCCGCUGGAAACUGUCUGGCUUGAGUCCGGAAGGGGCGAGUGGAAUUCCUGGUGUAGCGGUGAAAUGCGCAGAUAUCAGGAGGAACACCAAUGGCGAAGGCAGCUCGCUGGAACGGUACUGACGCUGAGGCGCGAAAGCUAGGGGAGCAAACGGG